rnacentral:lncRNA from 1 species
UCUCUCUCUCUCUGUUUGACUCGGUUUUCAAAAAUUAUUUUUAAGAACAAAAAACAUUCAUUCAUUAUUUAUUUUUUAAUAAACAUGAAUUUUGAAGUUUUAAUACUAUCUUUUUAAUAUUAUCUAAAAAAUUGGUUCACAUUUAAAAAAAUAAAAAAACUAAAUAAUUUGUCUUAAAGCUAUUUGAAAACUGAGCCAAACAGAGAAUAAAAAGCAACGCUCAUGCUGUCGACUACUCAAUCCUACGUGUCCGUCCCCACACGCCCAAUCUCACACAAACUCUAGGAUUCGGAUCCUUCAGUGUUCUUAGAGUGUACAAAACAAUAUAAUUUUGUAUAAUUUAUGAUUAAAAAGAUUGGGGGGGAGGGUUUUGUUAUGACAUUCGUUGUUUUACUGUUAAUUAAAACGAUAUCAUUUUGGUCUUAAAAUGUAUAAAACGUCGUUUUUUAUACAUUAUAGAAUAAUUCACAGGAUCCGAACUCCAAACUUAUGCCCCCAUCUCUACAACUCCAUGCGGCUCCGCUUUCUCCGCCUAGAUAGAGAAACAAAGAAUCUCUCUCUGCAGACACAAACAACGCCACAGCGCUAGCGUAAAUUUCACCAUUGUCCUUGUAGUUUGAUCAGAAUUUCACAUUGGUUCUUAUAAUUUUAAUUUAAACAAUUACGUCCUUAUAAUUUUAUUUUAAUUAUAAUGUAACUCUGUCAAUAGUACUCAUAUGAAAUUUGGAUAGAAAACAACUAUUUUUUGAGGAUAAUUUUAAAUCACUCACUUUAUUUCCUAAAAAAUAGCUAUAUGAGUUUCGUAUACUUUCUAUCCAAAUUCCUAGUCUAUAUUUUGAACUUGUGAAAAAUAAAUAAAUAAAUAGAAGGUAGAUAAAGCAAUUGAAAUAAAAAUUUUAGGAUCAAAUAAUAUAUUUCUCUUUGUUUGAUUUUGCAAUAAAAUGACAUAAAAAUGAGAAAAAAAUAUUUUUUUCUUAUUUGUUUUUUAAAAAUAAUAUAAAAAUUUAUAUAAACAAAGAAAGAGAAGAAAUAAAGACAUAGGGAAGAAUGUAAAAGAAAAUUUUCAAAAUGAGAAGGAAAAUAAGUUUUUCCUUAUUUUUCCUUUUAAAACUAAGAACUAAAUAAGAGAAGAGAAAAAAAUAUUAUAUUUUUCACUUCUUUUCAUAGGUUCCAAACAGAGCCUUAAUGGGAAUUCAACAAGAGGACUACAUUGGAAUUAUAUUAAAACAAUAGGUCUUAAUUAUUCAAAUAAAUAACUAAAUAAAUCAAAGUGAAAUUUUAGUUAAACUAUAGAUACCAAUAGUGAAAUCUAGCUCUCUCUCUCUCUCUCUCUCUCUCCACCUCUUAAGGUUCGUUAGGCCACCUGCCUUUUGUUCCUUUACUCCAUCCGUUAACAUGCUUCAUCCGUCAAUUCCAAUGCUCUCUCUCCUCCCAUAAAAGCCCCCGCCCUCCCAUUUCCCCAUUCGCCUCCGAAUUGCUUCAAUUCAAUGGCGCCGAUGAAGCUCAAGCCAACGCCGGCGCCCAACUCCACCUCCCAAACCCUCACCGCCGCCGACGCUCGCCUCCUCGCCCGCGAGUCUAUCCGAAUCAGGCAGAACUCGCGCGUCGCCACUGCCACCGUGGCGGCGACGGAGAGCGUCGGAUUGAGGAACUUCGGG